CGAGAGCGAUUUAAAAUCAAACUCCUCCGUAUGAUUUCGCGAAUCGCUCUCGCGGUACUUUGACGUCAUCUGUCUGUCGGUUCUUGCGGCACCGCAUGAAGUCGAACAAGCCAAAUAACUUCGGUUAAAGUAAAAUAACGUCACUGACAUUUCCCGCGAAAUCGUACUGGACAGCUUAAUAAUAAUAAUAAACCAUUAUUUUAAGCUUACCGUUGUGGAUAAGAAACAAUGAAAGGAAGCUGACUGCAGAGGCCCAUAUUUAUUAGGUUUUGAUGACAGCAUAAAUUCCUCCAGCACACAAGCAAAAACAGCUCAAUAGCUUUUAAUCACUUUCCCUAUAUGUGUUUAUUCAACAUUGUGUGUAUUACAACUAAGCCAGGAAAGAAAUAAUAUAUGAUUUGUAUGUUACUAUAAUAGGUAUUUAACUGAUUCUUUUAUUCGCCCACCACAGGCCAAUUGCAUGGUCAGAUCUCUAAAGGCUAGUAUGGGACUAUCUGAGAUCUUGACCUCUGUGCAUCAUGCUUUGCAUGUUCCAACUAUCUCCAAUUCCAAUCACCUGACAUGGAUCAUCUGACUUUGAUCCCCUUUUAUACUUGAGUUAAAAAGCUAAAGUGGGUGUCCGAAAAUCCAUGGGUGGAUUGCUGUAUGGGUCACAUUGUUGCAUUGAGCUCUGUGUUGUAAUCCACUCUGACACAACAUGCCCACUGCAUCAAUGAGAAAAUGCCAGAUCUGUCAUAUCCCGGAAACAUGAAAAGCUUCUGUUGUCAUUGAGAAAGACCAUGUGAGCUUUAUAGUCUUUAUUCCCAUUCAUUCUUGUUUGUCUGCUCAUGAACUCAUUGUCAUAAGUGCAUUGAAACAUUUAAAAACAAUGAAAUAAUACAGCUUAAUUGUCCGACUGGUGGGAUGAAUUUAUUAAUGGAUUGUAAAUGGCAUUGAUGGUUAACAGUAUGACUGGACGUGAUCUGACUAUCAUUUUCCUGUUAAAUACAGUAAAGUCUAAAUGAA